rnacentral:rRNA from 1 species
GUACACGAGCGGCGAACGGGUGAGUAACACGUGAGCAACCUGCCCCUGACUCUGGGAUAAGCGGUGGAAACGCCGUCUAAUACCGGAUACGACCUUCCGCCUCAUGGUGGAGGGUGGAAAGUUUUUUCGGUCAGGGAUGGGCUCGCGGCCUAUCAGCUUGUUGGUGGGGUAACGGCCUACCAAGGCGAUUACGGGUAGCCGGCCUGAGAGGGCGACCGGCCACACUGGGACUGAGACACGGCCCAGACUCCUGCGGGAGGCAGCAGUGGGGAAUAUUGCGCAAUGGGCGAAAGCCUGACGCAGCGACGCCGCGUGGGGGAUGACGGCCUUCGGGUUGUAAACCUCUUUUACCACCAACGCAGGCUCCGGGUUUUCUCGGGGUUGACGGUAGGUGGGGAAUAAGGACCGGCUAACUACGUGCCAGCAGCCGCGGUAAUACGUAGGGUCCGAGCGUUGUCCGGAAUUAUUGGGCGUAAAGAGCUCGUAGGCGGCGUGUCGCGUCUGCUGUGAAAGACCGGGGCUUAACUCCGGUUCUGCAGUGGAUACGGGCAUGCUAGAGGUAGGUAGGGGAGACUGGAAUUCCUGGUGUAGCGGUGAAAUGCGCAGAUAUCAGGAGGAACACCGGUGGCGAAGGCGGGUCUCUGGGCCUUACCUGACGCUGAGGAGCGAAAGCAUGGGGAGCGAACAGGAUUAGAUACCCUGGUAGUCCAUGCCGUAAACGUUGGGCGCUAGGUGUGGGGACUUUCCACGGUUUCCGCGCCGUAGCUAACGCAUUAAGCGCCCCGCCUGGGGAGUACGGCCGCAAGGCUAAAACUCAAAGGAAUUGACGGGGGCCCGCACAAGCGGCGGAGCAU